AUACGGAGGGUGCAAGCGUUAUUCGGAAUCACUGGGCGUAAAGGACGCGUAGGCGGGUUGGCAAGUCAGAUGUGAAAUCCUACAGCUUAACUGUAGAACUGCAUUUGAAACUGCUAACCUAGAGUAUGGGAGGGGGAGAUGGAAUUAGUGGUGUAGGGGUAAAAUCCGUAGAUAUCACUAGGAAUACCGAAAGCGAAGGCGAUCUCCUGGAACAUAACUGACGCUAAGGCGUGAAAGCGUGGGGAGCAAACAGGAUUAGAUACCCCGAGUAGUCC
rnacentral:rRNA from 1 species